AUUGAACGCUGGCGGCAGGCCUAACACAUGCAAGUCGAGCGGAGCGGCGGACGGGUGAGUAAUGCCUAGGAAUCUGCCUGGUAGUGGGGGAUAACGUCCGGAAACGGGCGCUAAUACCGCAUACUAUCAGAUGAGCCUAGGUCGGAUUAGCUUGUUGGUGGGGUAACGGCUCACCAAGGCGACGAUCCCUAGCUGGUCUGAUAGGAUACCCAGCCACACUGGAACUGAGACAAGGUCCAGACUCCUACGGGAGGCAGCAGUGGGGAAUAUUGCACAAUGGGCGCAAGCCUGAUGCAGCCAUGCCGCGUGUAUGAAGAAGGCCUUCGGGUUGUAAAGUACUUUCAGCGGGGAGGCGUUACCCGCAGAAGAAGCACCGGCUAACUCCGUGACAGCAGCCGCGGUAAUAC
rnacentral:rRNA from 1 species